CGCAACCGCCCGCAACCGCAAACGCUAGCUGGAGUCAGCUUUUGAAUUUAUGAGAUUCGGAGCGGUUUGAAACGGUUUAGAGCGAUUUGAGUGAUUGUUGCAAACCGCCGACAACCGCUACCAACCGCAAAAGCUGCGUUUGCGGGUGGUAGCGGAAAAACCAAUCGCCCCCUAAAGACUAACUCAUUACGAAUACGAGUCUUCCACAACUUCCACAAGAUCUAAUACGAAUUUGAAGGUAUCAUCAUUAAACCGAUAAAAAAUAUUCACAGCUCGCUUUCUUUACUAAAUGAUUUUUUAUUCAUAGAUAUAUAGUUAAUCGACACUGUUUCAUCCUUGUUUAAUGGAUUCUAUAAUGUUUCAAAAGUUGAAGUGGACUAGAUAUCUGGUCACGCCUACUUGAUUGGAACCACUACUCUUACUAAGUUUGAGUUGUAUUAAACAGAUGUCCAUAUAGACCAACUAAAACCGAAUGUGAAAAUCGAUCCAAAUAAACACUAUAUAAUCCUACAUCAUAUACACAUAUAAAAAGACAUUCACAUAUCAUAUUUGCAACGUUUUCACAUAUAAUGUGAGGAUAGUCUUCUAUUAGAUUUUGUAGAUAAUUAAGCUUCAACACUCGUCAUCUCAUUUUAUCAGAAAUAAACAUCUGUCACAAAUUCAAUACCGUGCGAAGAGUUUUAGGGGCAUAAGACACGUUUUAAGAAUAAAUUUAUUUUUAACUAUAAUGAAAACAAUUUUUUAAUAUGAUAUAUUAUUUUCACCAAAUAUACAAGUUUAAUAUUGUAAAAGAAUAAAUUUAUAACGUAAAUAUGUUAUAUUAUGUCAUAUAGAAAAAAUGCAUGAAUUCAAAAAGUGAGUUAAUUAAUUUUCGUAGAAAUGUUCUUUUUUAAAUAAAUCUAAAUCACUAUACUAGAAAUUAUUUAAAAUUUUAAAGCUCUAAAAACAGUUAUAUUAAUCGGGAACCUGAGCCGAAUGCCUUUUUUAAUACACUGUAGGCACGUCUUUGCACAAAUUUAAUACUUGUGCGGUAGCAUGCAUGAGUAAGCAGUAUACCACGGCCAAUUUAGAAGCCCAAAUUCGUGCAUGGUCAGGCAAGAAAAUAGGCUACCCCGAAACGUGACCCAAGCCUAUCUUAUUUAAAAUUUUCUUAAAGAUUAAGUAAUUUAUGUAAAAUAUCUUAAUGUAUAAAAGCGUAGAAUGACAUGAAAAUGUGUAGAAUAGCUUAAGGGGUAAACAUACUUCAUGUGUAAGAAAAAGGGGAGAAUAAACAAGAGAUCUCAGCCGUUAGAUCGGUUUGAUCUCAGCCAUCUACUAAAAAGGUGGGAUGUAUAUAUAAAAGGGGUGAUGGCUUAUUGUAAAUUCAUUUACGAAGUUAUAAAAUAUAAUUCUCAAACUAAAAACGUCCAUUCUCUCUCUAAGUGUUGAUCUGAAGUGUGGUUAAAUUGAAAGGUUGGCUUAGCAACUACGAAACGUAAAAAUAAGUGCUAAGACCACACGUUCCGAUUCAGCGAAAAAUCAGUCCGUGGCAAGUAGCUUACAACCGAAAAGAUCAUGACGAGGAAGAAGGUAAAUCUAGCUUACAUUUCCAAUGACUCGGUGAGGAAAAGAGCACUCAUGCAUAAGAAGAGAGGACUUACGAAGAAACUUGAUGAGAUCAAGGUUCUCUGUGAUAUUGAUGCGUGUGCUGUCAUCUACAGUCCAUUCAACUCAACUCCAGAAAUAUGGCUACCAAACUCGGAGGUGCAUAAGGUUAUAGAAAAGUUCGAGAUUUUGACAGAUGAAGAACAGACGGAGGCAUCGGUUAACCACGAAGAGUUUCUCACUCAAACAAUCACAAAAGACGAGAAGAAGGUUAAGAGAUUAACUGAAGAUAAUAUUGAUAAAUUCAUGAAGGAACUCAUGUACGCUUGUCUUAAUGGUAACCUGUGAGAUUUGGAUAUGGACGAUAGUGCUCGUGGUAACUUGUGUGAGUUUAUUGAUGAAUAUCUCAAGAAGCUUUAUCAUCAUAGAAACGUAACCCUAAACAAUCCGCACGCAUCUUGAAACCGGCGUCUUCCCAAUGGCUAUGGCCACUGCUGUGACACCAAUUGCUAUGGCUGAAGCGGGCUCUUCCUCUUAUGGGAAUGCACAAAUCUUCAAUUCUCCUCAACUAACCAACGAGUCUUAUCCUCUAGUCACUUCAAACCAAGGACCAGAUCAUAUUAAUUUUUAUGGAAGCGAAUGUCGUGCUUAACAUUUUAGGGGCACAAAGCAAACAUUUCAAAAUUUUACUAUAAAAAUAUUAGUGAAAUAUCAUUAAUAUACAAUAAAAUACAUCAAAACUUUUUAUAUACAUUAAUUUUAGUGAAGAUACAAAACUAUAUAGUAAAGUUUUAAUUAAAAUUAUAUAAGUGAUCGAUUGUGAACUGAUAUAAAUGAUGAACUGAUAUAACAAAUACAAUAAUAUAAUAUAUUAACAGAAAAAUCAUUGAUAAAAAAAAAUGAAAACCCAGAAAACAGCAAAAAUUAUUAAAAGACAAUGAAAUAUAACGUUCAAAUACAAUGAAAUUACGAUUAAAAUGAUCAUACCCAUUUUAUUUUGUUUAUCUUCGGUAGCAAAUUGGCAAAACUUUGGACAUUGCUUGCCUUUUUAUCUUAUUAUCAUUAUUCUGUUGUGGAGUUUGAAUUCCGUGCAAGACAAAAAGUUCAUCAAAAUAUAUAUAGUCGUUAUUACGUUAAAUUGUUUAGAAAUAUGUAUUAUAAAUAUUUCAAAAAUCCAUAUAUGCAUUACACUCAUUGAUAAUAAAUAAAUCUUUAAAAUUACUCAAUAUUUUAUUUUCAUUGAAUAUUUAGUUAUUGAUCUUUUGUUUUAAAUUUUUUAACAUUUUGUAACUGAAUGAUAUUCUUAACAACACAUAUAUAUAUAUAGAAAUUGUCUUUUUUUUUUUAUUGAAUAUCAAAUUUAUUGAUCUUAAUAACUCAUUUACAUGUGGAUGAUUAUGUACUCUAAUCACCUAUGAAUGAAUAAAAGAAUAAAACGU